rnacentral:lncRNA from 1 species
GUGAGAUCGGCAGAAUCAAGGCAUGACACAAUAAAGAAUCCACUCCUUUCACCCAAUGCCCCACUUGCGCGGAAACGCGAGCCGAUGUGACAUCAGGCUCAGGAGUAGGGGGCAACUAUUGGGAUAUACCGACCGACCCUAAUGCCGACUCAUCGACGCCGACUCACCGACGGGUCCCGAUGCCGGCCCAUCAUCGACGCCGACUCACCGAUGGGUCCCGAUGCCGACCCAUCCGCGAGGAUGGACCGACCGACUUUGUCCGUCUGACGACGGACAACACCAACAGUAACUACCGAUCAUUUUCGGUUGGAACGCAUCGGCCUAACAGACCAACACUGCCUC